UGCAGUCGUACGCACAGCAAUGUGAGUGGCGCAAGGGUGAGUAAUGCGAAGGUAACCAACCCUGAAGUUGGGCAUAGCCGCGGGAAACUGCGGGUAAUUCCCAGCGAUGUUGCGAGAUGGCAUCAUUUUGCAACCAAAGGUGUGAUUCCGCUUUAGGACGGGCCUUCGUGGUAUUAGGUAGUUGGUGAGGUAACGGCUCACCAAGCCUACGAUGCCUACCGGGUGUGAGAGCAUGACCCGGCACACUGGAACUGAGACACUGUCCAGACACCUACGGGUGGCUGCAGUCGAGAAUCUUCGGCAAUGGGCGAAAGCCUGACCGAGCGACGCCGCGUGAGGGAUUGAAGGCCUUCGGGUUGUAAACCUCUUUCGUAGAGGAGGAAGGGGCUGUGAAGAACAGUCCUUGACCUAUUCUAGGAAGAAGCUUGGGCUAAGUUCGUGCCAGCAGCCGCGGUAAGACGAACCAAGCGAACGUUAUUCGGAAUUACUGGGCUUAAAGCGCGUGUAGGCGGACUACCACGUUGGUUGUUGAAAUCCCCCGGCUUAACCGGGGAACUGGCACCAAUACGAGUAGUCUGGAGGUGGGUAGGGGAGACUGGAACUUCCGGUGGAGCGGUGAAAUGCGUUGAGAUCGGAAGGAACGCCCGCGGCGAAAGCGAGUCUCUGGACCCAAACUGACGCUGAGACGCGAAAGCCAGGG
rnacentral:rRNA from 1 species